rnacentral:rRNA from 1 species
GACGAACGCUGGCGGCGUGCUUAACACAUGCAAGUCGAACGGAAAGGCCCUGCUUGUUUGGUGUUCUCGAGUGGCGAACGGGUGAGUAACACGUGAGUAACCUGCCCUUGACUUUGGGAUAACUUCAGGAAGCUGGGGCUAAUACCGGAUAGGAGCUCCUGCUGCAUGGUGGGGGUUGGAAAGUUUCGGCGGUUGGGGAUGGACUCGCGGCUUAUCAGCUUGUUGGUGGGGUAGUGGCUUACCAAGGCUUUGACGGGUAGCCGGCCUGAGAGGGUGACCGGCCACAUUGGGACUGAGAUACGGCCCAGACUCCUACGGGAGGCAGCAGUGGGGAAUAUUGCACAAUGGGCGGAAGCCUGAUGCAGCAACGCCGCGUGCGGGAUGACGGCCUUCGGGUUGUAAACCGCUUUCGCCUGUGACGAAGCGUGAGUGACGGUAAUGGGUAAAGAAGCACCGGCUAACUACGUG